UUUUUAACAGACCCACGAGGGGCCAGACCUAUACACACCCUCAAGGGUGGAGAGAACCCUGCCUCCCACACUCCAGUGGGGCUGCCGCCACCUCGGCCAUCCAAGUUGCACUUGCAGAAAUUAACUGCGUCUGAGGCCUGGAGAGGAAACGCCUCCAAACCGCCUUCACCUGGGCUGAGGCAGAGGCGGGGCACAGCGAGGCCCAACAAGCCCCACCUGUAUAUUAUAUUAGUUUUGGAUUAGACAUGUCAAGUGCUUGGGAACUCCUCCUGACUGAGUGAGCGCACGCCUCCCAUUGCUGACAGACGUGAUGUUUUACCGGUUGCUAUCGGUGGUCCAAAGACAAAGAACCAGCCGAGGAUGGCAGAACUGGCCCUCAGCCAGAAGUGGUGCAUCAGCGGCCGAGGCGCAUUCUGUCGCCCUGCCUGCCCAGGCGCAGGUGGUCAUCUGUGGCGGGGGAAUCAUGGGCACAUCCGUGGCCUAUCACCUGUCCAAGAUGGGGUGGAAGGACAUUGUCCUUUUGGAGCAGGGCAGGCUGGCUGCUGGCUCUACGAGGUUCUGUGCAGGCAUCAUAAGCACUGCCAGGCACUUGGGCAUUGAGCAGAAGAUGGCAGACUAUUCAAACAAACUGUACCAGCAGCUGGAGCAAGAAACAGGGAUCCAAACAGGUGUACAGAUCUAUGACCGGACAAGUGUUAUUCACGUGAUGAUCAAAAAAGGUGAAGUUACUGGCGUGGAGACUGAUAAAGGACAGAUCGAAUGCCAGUAUUUUGUCAAUUGUGCUGGUCAGAGCCCCUGUUGAGCUCCCUCCUGCGUAGGAUGCCAGACCUGGAGACAUUGGAGAUCAUGAAGUUGGUCAACUGCCCCGAGACCUUCACACCAGACAUGAGGUGCAUCAUGGGUGAGUCUCCUUUGGUUAAGGGCUACUUUGUCCUGGCAGGAAUGAACUCUGCUGGCCUUUCGUUUGGUGGAGGAGCUGAAAGGUUAAAAAAGAUUCCCUCAAUUGAAUAUGCUGACAAGAUAGAAGAGGCCCCCCGUCCCCCACCGCUCCCCAAGAGGUGAUGAUGGAUCCUUUCAGAGAAGAAAGUACCAACCAUCUUAAAGUCCAUCCCCCCAGUCACAGGAGUCCAGAACCCCUCGAAUCCCUAGAGAGAGGUAAGUGGUCACACAAGACAAACACUUGGGGCCUCACUGCCCCAGAGAUGGAAAUGACAUACACAUUAGGUGUUGAGACUGUCAUUUAUGCUAGAGGUGGGAGUCAGUCAACCCCUCCAGAUUUAGGACCAAAUGGAGAAAACUACCAGAUUCACGCUGCCUGUAUCUGAACAAAAAGAGACUUCAGGGAUAAACUUUGAAGUGCCCAAAACUAAUGUGUGCUGCAGGGCACUCAAUAAACAAGUGACGCCCUCUGCUGUGGACAAGAAGACAUUUAUGCGUAACUAGAAAAGGUGAUUCGGGAAUGGUGCAGAGCGUGUAAUACCUGUAGCCCUCUAGCACCUGUUUCCAUCUUCUUGGGCCAGUCGGCUCCCUGCUGGUUACCUGCAUUGGCACAGCUCCUGUUCUCCCACGGGGCACACCUCUCCUUUCUCCUCUGUGCCUAGGAGCAACAUCUCUCAGCCAUUACAUACACAUCUGCACCAGAAUAGCAAGGCCCGCCAAGCAAUUCUAAUCACAUGCUCCCUUAACAAAUCAACUAAGACCUCCUAAAAAGGUGGGCACUGGCUGGGGAAAUGGCAAGACAUGCCUAGAGGCAGACAGUCUGAUUAAGGGGGUAAAUAGCAGCCAGAGCAGGCUAGCACCUGGAGCACCUUCGUUAUUAGACUUACAGACCUAGCAGAGCUAAUGUGUCUACGAUGUCAAUACAACAAAGGCUGCAGUUAAUUAGUUACAUCUCUAGCAACAGUUUAUACUUUUAAGAAAUCAGCUUUGGUGACAGGGGAAACUAAGAAUUAAGUGUUGGGAUGAAUAGUAUAGUCUGAUGUCACUCAAUUUUCACCCUUGAAAGACAUUUCUGAACUGUGCGUGACCCUCUUGGAAGCACUCCAGUCACUUUCUAUUCCAGACGAGACGGAAAGCAAGGAUGGAAAGCAGUCUGCUAGGCUCACACAACAGACACCCUCUUCGCUCAGAACCCACGUGGGUCAGCUGUGGAUCUGUCCUGCCCGAGGAAGCAGAACUUGGCAGUCUAGUCCUCUUGAACUCAGUAUGUGUGCUGCCCUACCUUCCCCUCCCUCUUCCUAAAGGGAAGAAAUAUUUGCUGAGCUAGUGAGCCUACCACCGAAGGGACAGGAAGAGAAAGCAGCACUGUUUGGUGUUGGUACUUUCUGAGGUUAAGACCCUUUCCUUUCAUCUGAAAAAAGCAACAUGGUUUUCCCCUUUCAAAUACUGUGGCUCACUUGUUUACUCAACCAAACAAGCAAAGCCCCUCAUUACAGAGAUUAACAAGCGAUGAAGAAAAUUAUAGGCAGGUGUCCCUGGUCCUCUGGUCGAGAACUAGUUGUUAGGGAGACUGGGAAUAAUGUCAGCUUGACUUUAUCUCUGCAGCCCACCCGAUGCCUCUCGUCAGUGAGGUAGAUGGUCAUCUUGCUCGAGGUAUCAUGGUGCCAGCCCACAGCACAGUGGAACAGGAACGCAGCUGCCUGGCUGAAGGCACAACUGCCUCAGGGCCCUAACAAGCACACAGCAACUCAUCACCGUCAGCAGGCGGCUCUGAGAACACCUGGCCCACGGAGAUGGACUCCUGCCUGCACACCACCAGCUUCCCUGGCUUCCCAACACAGCAUGUGACAUCCGACUGCCACCACACACACUUCUACAAGUGGGGCUUGCUCCUGUCCCCAUGGGAAUCUGAGACGGGUGGACGGAUGGGACAAACAGCUCAGACUGAGUGUGAGGAGAUGAAAGGACAAGAGAGGCUGCAAAGCAAAAAGUUUAAAAUGAUACCAAGGAGAUAA